rnacentral:misc_RNA from 1 species
UUCUGCUCUCAAACACCAAAACUUGAAUCAAUUAGUUUCCAAAAAGCUCUCAACUAGUAAACUAAAUAUCUGAUCGAUAAAUCCAUUUAAGCCAUCUUCAUUCAAAAUUACAAUACGAUCCAUAUGCCAAAACAAUCGCAAUAUAACAUUGACGUAAUCAACUCUCAGUCUGCUCUCUAAGACGGCGGAUGGUGCUUCUGACGGUGACCGCACUUGCAGUAUUCAAGGUGUAAGCACCACCAGCUUUCACUUUGCCACAGUCUUUGCA